rnacentral:rRNA from 1 species
CACGUAGUUAGCCGUGGCUUUCUGAUUAGGUACCGUCAAGACGUGCACAGUUACUUACACAUUUGUUCUUCCCUAAUAACAGAGUUUUACGAUCCGAAGACCUUCAUCACUCACGCGGCGUUGCUCCGUCAGGCUUUCGCCCAUUGCGGAAGAUUCCCUACUGCUGCCUCCCGUAGGAGUCUGGACCGUGUCUCAGUCCCAGUGUGGCCGAUCACCCUCUCAGGUCGGCUACGUAUCGUUGCCUUGGUAAGCCAUUACCCCACCAACUAGCUAAUACGGCGCGGGUCCAUCUAUAAGUGAUAGUAAAACCAUCUUUCACUUUAGAACCAUGCGGUUCUAAAUAUUAUCCGGCAUUAGCCCCGGUUUCCCGGAGUUAUUCCAGUCUUAUAGGUAGGUUACCCACGUGUUACUCACCCGUCCGCCGCUAACGUCAAAGGAGCAAGCUCCUUAUCUGUUCGCUCGACUUGCAUGUAUUAGGCACGCCGCCAGCGUUCAUCCUGAGCCAGGAUCAAACUCU